UACGAAGGGGGCUAGCGUUGCUCGGAAUGACUGGGCGUAAAGGGCGCGUAGGCGGUCUGUACAGUCAGGUGUGAAAUUCCCGGGCUCAACCUGGGGGCUGCACUUGAUACGUAUGGACUGGAGUGGGGAAGAGGGUCGUGGAAUUCCCAGUGUAGAGGUGAAAUUCGUAGAUAUUGGGAAGAACACCGGUGGCGAAGGCGGCGACCUGGUCCUUGACUGACGCUGAGGCGCGAAAGCUAGGGGAGCAAACGGG
rnacentral:rRNA from 1 species